AUUGAACGCUGGCGGAAUGCUUUACACAUGCAAGUCGAACGGUAGAGGGGGCAACCCCCUUGAGAGUGGCGAACGGGUGAGUAAUAUAUCGGAACGUGCCCAGUCGUGGGGAUAACGUAGCGAAAGUUACGCUAAUACCGCAUACGAUCUAAGGAUGAAAGCGGGGGAUCGCAAGACCUCGCGCGAUUGGAGCGGCCGAUAUCAGAUUAGGUAGUUGGUGAGGUAAAGGCUCACCAAGCCGACGAUCUGUAGCUGGUCUGAGAGGACGACCAGCCACACUGGGACUGAGACACGGUCCAGACUCCUACGGGAGGCAGCAGUGGGGAAUAUUGGACAAUGGGCGAAGACCUGAUCCAGCAAUGCCGCGUGAGUGA
rnacentral:rRNA from 1 species